rnacentral:rRNA from 1 species
GAACGGGUGAGUAACACGUGGGAAACCUACCUCUUAGCAGGGGAUAACAUUUGGAAACAGAUGCUAAUACCGUAUAACAAUGACAACCGCAUGGUUGUUAUUUAAAAGAUGGUUCUGCUAUCACUAAGAGAUGGUCCCGCGGUGCAUUAGCUAGUUGGUAAGGUAAUGGCUUACCAAGGCGAUGAUGCAUAGCCGAGUUGAGAGACUGAUCGGCCACAAUGGGACUGAGACACGGCCCAUACUCCUACGGGAGGCAGCAGUAGGGAAUCUUCCACAAUGGGCGAAAGCCUGAUGGAGCAACGCCGCGUGUGUGAUGAAGGGUUUCGGCUCGUAAAACACUGUUGUAAGAGAAGAAUGACAUUGAGAGUAACUGUUCAAUGUGUGACGGUAUCUUACCAGAAAGGAACGGCUAAAUACGUGCCAGCAGCCGCGGUAAUACGUAUGUUCCAAGCGUUAUCCGGAUUUAUUGGGCGUAAAGCGAGCGCAGACGGUUAUUUAAGUCUGAAGUGAAAGCCCUCAGCUCAACUGAGGAAUUGCUUUGGAAACUGGAUGACUUGAGUGCAGUAGAGGAAAGUGGAACUCCAUGUGUAGCGGUGAAAUGCGUAGAUAUAUGGAAGAACACCAGUGGCGAAGGCGGCUUUCUGGACUGUAACUGACGUUGAGGCUCGAAAGUGUGGGUAGCAAACAGGAUUAGAUACCCUGGUAGUCCACACCGUAAACGAUGAGUGCUAGGUGUGUAAGGGUUUCCGCCCUUAAGUGCCGCAG